CACGAACGCUGGCGGCGUGCCUAAUACAUGCAAGUCGAACGCAGGAAACUGACGGAACUCUUCGGCGGGAAGGCAGCGGAAUGAGCGGCGGACGGGUGAGUAACACGUAAGGAACCUGCCUCAAGGAUUGGGAUAACUCCGAGAAAUCGGAGCUAAUACCGGAUAGUUCAACGGACCGCAUGGUCCGCUGAUGAAAGGCGCUCCGGCGUCACCUUGAGAUGGCCUUGCGGUGCAUUAGCUAGUUGGGGGGGUAACGGCCCACCAAGGCGACGAUGCAUAGCCGACCUGAGAGGGUGAUCGGCCACACUGGGACUGAGACACGGCCCAGACUCCUACGGGAGGCAGCAGUAGGGAAUCUUCCACAAUGGACGAAAGUCUGAUGGAGCAACGCCGCGUGAGUGAUGAAGGUUUUCGGAUCGUAAAACUCUGUUGUAAGGGAAGAACACGUACGAGAGGGAAUGCUCGUACCUUGACGGUACCUUACGAGAAAGCCACGGCUAACUACGUGCCAGCCGCCGCAGUAAAAC
rnacentral:rRNA from 1 species